CAGUCGCCGCGGUAAUACGUAGGUGGCAAGCGUUGUCCGGAAUUAUUGGGCGUAAAGGGCUCGCAGGCGGCUUCUUAAGUCUGAUGUGAAAGCCCCCGGCUCAACCGGGGAGGGUCAUUGGAAACUGGGAAACUUGAGUGCAGAAGAGAAGGGUGGAAUUCCACGUGUAGCGGUGAAAUGCGUAGAGAUGUGGAGGAACACCAGUGGUGAAGGCGACUCUCUGGUCUGUAACUGACGCUGAGGAGCGAAAGCGUGGGGAGCGAACAGGAUUAGAUACCCCCGUAGUCCCUGUCUCUUAUAC
rnacentral:rRNA from 1 species